GCAGAGAUGGCGGAGCGGUCAAACGCACUAGCCUGGAAAGCUAGAUCCUUUACGGGAUACGCGAGUUCGAAUCUCGUUCUCUGCG
rnacentral:tRNA from 1 species